GAUUUCUUGAUCUUCCUGUCUCUUCUAGUCAGUUCAAAAAUACGGGACACUAGGAUCUAUCAAAGCUUGCUACAGCCAGCUGUGAGAGACAUUUGGGCAGAAGACAUCACUUGGACAGUGUGUAAGUGAACAGCAUUAAUGCUUCCACUCUGGAGCUCUGCAUCAGGCUUUCUUCUGAAAAGCUCCCUUGCUGAAGUGUCAGGAGAAAGGAGCUGUGCUAAGUGUUGCCAGACUGGUUCUCUGGAGAAACGGAACAAUUCUUUUACAAUGCAACAAAGCAUUGAUUUUAAGCAAGCAAGACAUGUGCAAAGCAAACGUGCCCAGGAGCUGAACUGCACAAAUGACUGCAGUUCCUGGCCUUCCCUGAGGUGGCUGAGAGGCUUCUGGCAGAGCUGUGCAGCCCUCCUUUCCCUGGAUGAACUGC
rnacentral:lncRNA from 1 species